rnacentral:rRNA from 1 species
AGAGUUUGAUCCUGGCUCAGAGCGAACGCUGGCGGCAGGCUUAACACAUGCAAGUCGAACGCCAUCUUCGGAUGGAGUGGCAGACGGGUGAGUAACGCGUGGGAACGUACCCUUUGGUUCGGAAUAUUCUCGGGAAACUGGGAGCAAUACCGGAUAAGCCCUACGGGGGAAAGAUUUAUCGCCAAAGGAGCGGCCCGCGUCAGAUUAGGUAGUUGGUGGGGUAAAGGCCUACCAAGCCUACGAUCUGUAGCUGGUCUGAGAGGAUGAUCAGCCACACUGGGACUGAGACACGGCCCAGACUCCUACGGGAGGCAGCAGUGGGGAAUCUUGGACAAUGGGCGCAAGCCUGAUCCAGCCAUGCCGCGUGGAUGAUGAAGGCCUUAGGGUUGUAAAAUCCUUUCAACGGGGACGAUAAUGACGGUACCCGUAGAAGAAGCCCCGGCUAACUUCGGGCCAGCAGUCGCGGUAAUACAAAGGGGGCUAGCGUUGCUCGGAAUUACUGGGCGAAAAGCGCACGUAUGCGGAU